GAAAUGCGAUACGUAAUGUGAAUUGCAGAAUUCAGUGAAUCAUCGAAUCUUUGAACGCACAUUGCGCCUUCUGGUAUUCCGGAAGGCAUGCUUGUUUGAGUAUCAGUAACAACCUCAGCUCCCUCCUUUCAAUCUUGCUCUUCGCGAGGAUGAAAGGGGAAAAGCUGGAUUUGAGCAGUCCCUUGGUCAAAAAUUUUUUGAUUCGGGGUGGCUUGAAAUACAGGUUCGGCUAAGACGAUCAGGGUUUUUUUCCCUGUCUCCUGGGCUACUAGCAUUUUAUACUUAAUCCCGUCAAACGGAUUAUAUCCUUUGCUGCAGCCAACACACACAAAAGG
rnacentral:misc_RNA from 1 species